CACACACAAAAGCACACACACGUACAGUCUCACACACAAUCUCACAUAUACACACACACACAUUCCCACUUGCACUCACAUGCAUUUAAUGUAUACUCUUUAUAUCCCAAACACAUCUUUACCUAUGACUUAUAUCAGCUGACUACCCCACUCUUCAGUAUUUUCACAUAUUUUUCACAUACGUUACUGUAUUUAGAGUGGCUAUUAUAAUGGCACAACUUAUAGCAAUACAAAUGUGUUCAUCAUAUGUGGUUUGAAUCUGUGAUCAAUUGAGGUCUUCAUCAACAAUGACUGUGUAUAUUAAGUAGCACUUUGGGGAUGUUCCAGAAAGCAGGAUCAUUGAGUUAACCAGCUAGCUUACUGAAAUCCAUAUUUUUGAGAAAUAUACACUUGACAUUGGCAUAGUAUAUAUUAAUCAACAAUCAAAAACGCAUAUUCAAGCUGAGCUAAAUUAACCAAAAAAUUCAAGAGAUAUAUAUGAUCGUUAAUAUGUUAGCUAGAUAACGCAAGGAUUUAUUUGAUUUUAUCACAGGCUAUUGGAAGUAUACAUGGGUGAAAAUGUUUGUUCCAAAAAAGAUUGGUGUUUGUAAUGUUCAUUCGUGUACAGUACAUGUAAAAUGGAAAAAGUAGUUUCCCUUGUUUAUGCCUUUCAAAGGAAAUCUCUGUAAUGUUCAUGCUGAGUUUCUCUCAAUCUAAAGCUCGUUUCAUAGAUUUGCUCGAGUGAAUUGAAGAGACUUCCCCAAUUGCAAAAUGUAGAUCAUUUCUGUUUUCUUUCCUUCUGCAUUAUAAGUUCAAUUCCCAAGAGAACAGCCAAUAAUAAUAAUUGUAACAGUGUUUUGGACUUGUGAUUUUUGUGCUAUUUAUUCUUUGUUUCACUGCUUUGUGCCACUGACCCAUUUGACAUGCAUGGAACCUAUGACAUUUGACGUAAGUGUUUGGACGAAAAGCGUACAAUGAGGGAGUUCAGGUGCAGUGGAGUGCAGUGAUCCCUAGUGUCACCCUGGAAUGAAGGACAAGUUCUGCUCGAAUACUUCAGCCACGAAGCCACACUAAUGACUUGUUGGAAGAGACACUUUCCUGUGUAGCACACAUUCUUACAGAGAGCGGUUCUCUGCUGCUUCGACAGCCAGAGUUCCUGCAACUAUGGUGGAUGUGUAACCGACCCAGCCCAGUACAGAGCGCUGCUUAAGGAAAUACAAAUUGCCCUCUCAUCAAUACUCAUGCAUUUGCUGCC